GGAGAGGUGGCCGAGUGGCUGAAGGCGCACGCCUGGAAAGCGUGUGAGCUCGAAAGGGCUUCGUGGGUUCGAAUCCCACCCUCUCCG
rnacentral:tRNA from 1 species